rnacentral:rRNA from 1 species
ACUUAAAUUGAAGAGUUUGAUCAUGGCUCAGAUUGAACGCUGGCGGCAGGCCUAACACAUGCAAGUCGAACGGUAGCACAGAGAGCUUGCUCUCGGGUGACGAGUGGCGGACGGGUGAGUAAUGUCUGGGAAACUGCCUGAUGGAGGGGGAUAACUACUGGAAACGGUAGCUAAUACCGCAUAACGUCGCAAGACCAAAGAGGGGGACCUUCGGGCCUCUUGCCAUCAGAUGUGCCCAGAUGGGAUUAGCUAGUAGGUGGGGUAACGGCUCACCUAGGCGACGAUCCCUAGCUGGUCUGAGAGGAUGACCAGCCACACUGGAACUGAGACACGGUCCAGACUCCUACGGGAGGCAGCAGUGGGGAAUAUUGCACAAUGGGCGCAAGCCUGAUGCAGCCAUGCCGCGUGUAUGAAGAAGGCCUUCGGGUUGUAAAGUACUUUCAGCGGGGAGGAAGGUGUUGUGGUUAAUAACCGCAGCAAUUGACGUUACCCGCAGAAGAAGCACCGGCUAACUCCGUGCCAGCAGCCGCGGUAAUACGGAGGGUGCAAGCGUUAAUCGGAAUUACUGGGCGUAAAGCGCACGCAGGCGGUCUGUCAAGUCGGAUGUGAAAUCCCCGGGCUCAACCUGGGAACUGCAUUCGAAACUGGCAGGCUAGAGUCUUGUAGAGGGGGGUAGAAUUCCAGGUGUAGCGGUGAAAUGCGUAGAGAUCUGGAGGAAUACCGGUGGCGAAGGCGGCCCCCUGGACAAAGACUGACGCUCAGGUGCGAAAGCGUGGGGAGCAAACAGGAUUAGAUACCCUGGUAGUCCACGCCGUAAACGAUGUCGACUUGGAGGUUGUGCCCUUGAGGCGUGGCUUCCGGAGCUAACGCGUUAAGUCGACCGCCUGGGGAGUACGGCCGCAAGGUUAAAACUCAAAUGAAUUGACGGGGGCCCGCACAAGCGGUGGAGCAUGUGGUUUAAUUCGAUGCAACGCGAAGAACCUUACCUACUCUUGACAUCCAGAGAACUUUUCAGAGAUGAAUUGGUGCCUUCGGGAACUCUGAGACAGGUGCUGCAUGGCUGUCGUCAGCUCGUGUUGUGAAAUGUUGGGUUAAGUCCCGCAACGAGCGCAACCCUUAUCCUUUGUUGCCAGCGGUUAGGCCGGGAACUCAAAGGAGACUGCCAGUGAUAAACUGGAGGAAGGUGGGGAUGACGUCAAGUCAUCAUGGCCCUUACGAGUAGGGCUACACACGUGCUACAAUGGCGCAUACAAAGAGAAGCGACCUCGCGAGAGCAAGCGGACCUCAUAAAGUGCGUCGUAGUCCGGAUUGGAGUCUGCAACUCGACUCCAUGAAGUCGGAAUCGCUAGUAAUCGUAGAUCAGAAUGCUACGGUGAAUACGUUCCCGGGCCUUGUACACACCGCCCGUCACACCAUGGGAGUGGGUUGCAAAAGAAGUAGGUAGCUUAACCUUCGGGAGGGCGCUUACCACUUUGUGAUUCAUGACUGGGGUGAAGUCGUAACAAGGUAACCGUAGGGGAACCUGCGGUUGGAUCACCUCCUUACCUUAAAGAA